UACGGGGGGGGGCAAGCGUUGUUCGGAAUUACUGGGCGUAAAGGGCGCGUAGGCGGCCUGCUAAGUCGAACGUGAAAUCCCCGGGCUCAACCCGGGAACUGCGUCCGAUACUGGUAGGCUUGAAUUCGGGAGAGGGAUGCGGAAUUCCAGGUGUAGCGGUGAAAUGCGUAGAUAUCUGGAGGAACACCGGUGGCGAAGGCGGCAUCCUGGACCGACAUUGACGCUGAGGCGCGAAAGCCAGGGGAGCAAACGGG
rnacentral:rRNA from 1 species